CAGCCGUAAACAAUGUGCGUUAGGUGUGUCGGUAACCACGCGUUACUGAUGCGCCGAAGAGAAAUCGUGAAACGCACCACCUGGGAAGUACGGUCGCAAGGCUGAAACUUAAAGGAAUUGGCGGGGGAGCACCACAACAGGUGGAGCCUGCGGUUUAAUUGGAUUCAACGCCGGGAAGCUCACCGGAUAGGACAGCAGAAUGAUUGCCGGGCUGAAGACCCUGCAUGACUAGCUGAGAGGAGGUGCAUGGCGUCAGUGACU
rnacentral:rRNA from 1 species